CCCUUAGAUGGUCUGGGCGGCACGCGCGCUACAACGAUGCAUUCAAAAAGUCUUCUGACCUUAGAAGGUUGGGUAUUCUCCAAAGUGCAUCGUGAUGGGAAUAGUUUAUUGCAAUUUUUAAUCUUGAACGAGGAAUUCCUAGUAAGUACAGGUCAUCAACUUGUGUUGAUUACGUCCCUGCCCUUUGUACACACCGCCCGUCGCUCCUACCGAUUGAAUGUUCCGGUGAGCUCUUCGGACUGCGCGGUCUGCAGUUUCUGCGUUCCGUGCGGAAAGUUGCGCAAACCUUAACAUUUAGAGGAAGGAGAAGUCGUAACA
rnacentral:rRNA from 1 species